rnacentral:sRNA from 1 species
CAAAGAGGAAACCAACAGGAAAUUCCAACAUGGGUGGAAACAUUUAAAAGUGGAAGGAGAGGAGUGAUUCCACAAAGCCAAGUCCAAGGCUGCCAAUGGAACCAGCUGCAAGAGAAAAAGAAUACCAGGAGAGGCAAGCACGUGUUUACAUUGAAGGCUAAAGAAACUGGGUUCUGAUGCCAGUGAAGUGUAGCAGCAGCAGCAGCAGCAGCAGCAGCAGCAAUAAGGCAGAUGCAUUUACUUGGAGUGCAGGUGAGCAGGCAAACAGAUCUUUAAAUCCCUCCGACUUCUUUAUAUUUAGGAAUCUUCCACAGGGUGCUGCCCACUUAGGGAAGGUCUUCCCUCCUCGGUUAACCUUUCCUGGAAAUGUACUCCCAAGCCCACUCAGAGCCAUGUCGCCUAGUUGACAGCCAAGAUUAACCUUCACGUUGGCCAUGUUCAUAUCCACAGGGUACCUACUGAGGCAGAGACAGGAAGUACCAAAGCCAUGAGGAACUGAGAACAUUCCUGGAGCAGUCAAGAGAAGAAGGGGGCCAGUACGGCAGAAAGAGCAGAAGAGCAUGAAGAAGAGAGAACCAUGAGGAGCAGAAACCAGUUUCCACCCCAGCCCAACUUUUAUCAUUCAAGCAGUGGAGAGGUUUCAGCAGAGAAGCAUUGGAUGAUGGAUGACAGUGUGGUUUAUUAAAAAAAAAAAAAAAAGAAGAAAAAGAAAACUAAAAAAGACCGUGGCUGCUACCACACUGGGAACAGAGGGUCAGGAAGACAGACAGAGGGAGAGGGAGCAUUGAGAAGGUGACAGCUGCAAUCUGACCCUGGCUCAGAGGAGGAGCUAAGGAGCACACGUGGGAGGGAUCAGAUCUGCCUGUGCUUCCUGGGCAAGCAGAGCUCUGUGGAUGGGCUGCGUGUGAGAGCUGACUUAGCGUGGGGCCAGUCUGUCACUCAGUUCAGGUAAUCAUCAGGCUUGCUGAGAAAGUGAAGGACUCUUUCCAAUGCCCCAGAUAUGCCAUGCCCCCACCUUUAGAGAUCUCUGAGAAUGGCUCCUGUUCCUUGCCCCAGAGCAGCCCGCCUUCCGGUGAUGGAUGGAUUUAUCAGCUCAUUCCCAAUGAAUGGAGUUUCCAGAGAGUGAAGAAGAUGCAGGAGAGUGACAAGACAGCCUGAGUGUGAGUUGCAUCCCAGGGAAGCCAACAGCCAUGUCUUGAGCAUCCCUACUAAGGAUGCAUAGAGCUACAAACUGAACAAGUCUCUGAUCAACAAAGAGUAAGGAUCUGAAGGUCUUAGGGUUUUAGCCUGUGAGGCAUGGAAUCCUGAGCGAGGUGAGAUGUGGACUCUCCCCAUCAAGGCCAAAGCCUAAAAUCCUAGUCUCAGGCCACAUGAUACCCACCGGGGUUCCGGGGCAGAACCACCUUGCAGGCCUCAGUCAGGUCCUUGCCCCACAGUACUGUGCCGUGAUGAACAUGUGCUACAUGGGUCACUAAAGCUUCUGGGGAAUUUCUUUUUAAGAUUUAUUUAUUUAUUUAUUUAUUUAUUUAGUGUGAGUACACGAUUGCUCUCUUCAAAAGGCAUUGCAUCCCAUUACAGAUGGUUGUGAGCCACCAUGUGGAUGCUGGGAAUUGAACUCAGGACCUCUGGAAGAGCAGUCAGUGCUCUUAGCUGCUGAGCCAUCCAUCCAGCCUCUGAGGGAAUUUCUUACACAGUCAAAGAUACCCAGAACAACUCUGGCUGAGCAUGCUGGAGGCCAGCUUCUCAGACUGAGGGCCUUCUCGGCCUGAAGGACGAGGUUGGUCACAUGAGCACCAGACCUGAGGUACUACAGAGGUAGCAAUCCCGAGGGCCAGCCUGGGCCAUUGAGUCAUGGCAGCUGUGGAUGGACACUCAAGCAUUCCAGCCCAUAAGGCCAAACCUGUGAUGUGUCCUCCACAGUCCCUCUGAGCCCACAGAACCAUAGCUGUCACCCAUAGAAGCAACCAGAUUUUUUUUAUUGGUUAUUCCCCCUUUUCUGUGCACUGUUACAUAGUUGUUGCCCACUUUUUAUCAUUAAGUUCUUUGUUUUAUUGCUACCAACAGGCAAAGGUUAGUGUUGAUAUAGCCCAAAAAAAUCCACCCAGAUAACCAACCAAACAAUUCCUUUUCCAGAAAGUCCACAGGAGGCACCAUCUCAUAAAUCAGAGGUUGCCAACCUGUGGGUCACCAACCUGUUGGCAAACUUCUAUCUCCAAAAUAUUUACAUUACAACUUGUAACAGUAGCAAAAAGUACAGUUAUGAGGUAACAAUGAAAAUACUUUUCUGGUUGAGGGUCACCACCGCAUGAGGAACCUAUUAAAGGGUCACAGUGUUAGGAAGGUUAAGCACUGCGGUCAUAAAUGGUCUUGCUGUAGUGGAGGGAGGGGGAUCCAGUGGACAAGCUGCCAUUUUGGAUAUUUAGCCACAGCUCACAAAAGGAAUUCCACUGAUGACUGUUUGGUAUCAAUGAGUACAUAAACACACAUUUUCAGACUUAAAUUUCUUUUUUUUUAAAUUGUGGGUUUUUUUGUUGUUGUUUUUGUUUGUUUGCUUUUACAUUUAUUUACUGAUUGCUGGAUUGCGUUUGUGUCUAUGAGUGUGGAUACUCAGGCUGUGGCACUCAAAUGGAAGCCAGAGGGCAACCAACAAGAACAAUCUACUAUGUGGGGUCCAGGGAUCGAAGCCAGGUCGUCAGGCUUGGCUUCAGUCCCCUCACCCGCUGAGCCAUCUCGCCAGCCCAGAAUUGAUUUUCCCACCCUGGCCUAUAGGAAGUUGAGAUGUAAGGAGGCAGGAAUCUUGGUAAGGUCAGACCACGUACGCACAGGCGAAAUUAUUAAGUGAGAAGGGGGCUUCGAUUCUUCUCCCCCCCGGGGUGCAUUUGCAGUAUCUGGAGACAGUUUAGAUCGCCACGAUUUGUUGCUGGCACCAAGUGGGUAGAAGCUAGGUAUGCUUUUAAGGGCUAAAUCUUUACAAAUAAUGUUGGGGGGAUACAGCUCUCUAUGAUGUGUUAUGGAAAAACGACAUCAAGUUAGAAUUCAAAGGGCAGGGGACAAGGCUUCACCUUACAGUCAGAUGGGUGUGAGCUGGAUGUCAGCGUCCUCAGCUGUCCUGUGACUCGGUUUGUAAAAGAGGUACAGUGAAUUGUAAAGCAAGGGGUUUACGAAUCAUCCAGAACAAAAUAUGGCGUCCAGGAAGUGCUCAGCCAUGAGAAGCAGGGGACACUAUGGGGAAGAGUAAGAGCCUCGAAGUCAGACACUGAUGGGGACCCUGGGGAAAGGAGCAAUCUGUUGCAGGCAUUUGCAAUCCUGCUCCAGAAACCAUAGCAGAAUCUUACUGUCACCAUUCCCACUGGUUUUGGUCAGUACCCCCCAAACCCUUCCUAUUUGGUCAAUAACCCCCCAAACCCUUCCUUUAUUAUAUAUACGUACACUGUAGCUAUCUUCAGACACACCAGAAAAGGGCAUCAGUUCCCAUUGGUUGUGAGCCAUCAUGUGAUUGC